rnacentral:rRNA from 1 species
UACGGGGGGAGCAAGCGUUGUUCGGAAUUACUGGGCGUACAGAGCUCGUAGGUGGUUUGUCGCGUUGUUCGUGAAAACUCACAGCUUAACUGUGGGCGUGCGGGCGAUACGGGCAGACUGGAGUACUGCAGGGGAGACUGGAAUUCCUGGUGUAGCGGUGGAAUGCGCAGAUAUCAGGAGGAACACCGGUGGCGAAGGCGGGUCUCUGGGCAGUAACUGACGCUGAGGAGCGAAAGCGUGGGGAGCGAACAGG